GAUGAACGCUAGCGGCAGGCUUAACACAUGCAAGUCGAGGGGCAGCAUGACACGGAGAUUCGUCGAAGUGUUGAUGGCGACCGGCGCAAGGGUGCGUAACGCGUGAGCAACUUGCCCGUUUCUGGGGAAUAACCGGUGGAAACGCCGACUAAUACCCCAUAGCAUAUUCGAGAGGCAUCUCUUGGAUAUUAAAGAAUUUCGGAAACGGAUAGGCUCGCGUGACAUUAGCUAGAUGGCGGGGUAACGGCCCACCAUGGCGACGAUGUCUAGGGGUUCUGAGAGGAAGGUCCCCCACACUGGAACUGAGACACGGUCCAGACUCGUACUCAGUG
rnacentral:rRNA from 1 species